AAGACUAUACUUUCAGGGAUCAUUUCUAUAGUGAUUGACUAGGAGAUGUGAUUUGAAAGUGAUACAUCUCCCUAAUCACGAUGAAGAGCUGUGAUGUAUUCUUCUGAGGGUGAAUCAGAUUCAAGCUACUGAUUUCUAUCACAGGCUUGAGUCAUUGAUGAACAUUCUCUGUUUCUUAUGAAACAUGGUUGGAAGGGUACAUGAUCUGAGUGAU